rnacentral:rRNA from 1 species
AGAGUUUGAUCCUGGCUCAGAUUGAACGCUGCGGCAUGCCUUACACAUGCAAGUCGAACGGCAGCAUGAUCUAGCUUGCUAGAUUGAUGGCGAGUGGCGAACGGGUGAGUAAUACAUCGGAACGUGCCCUGUAGUGGGGGAUAACUAGUCGAAAGAUUAGCUAAUACCGCAUACGACCUGAGGGUGAAAGUGGGGGACCGCAAGGCCUCAUGCUAUAGGAGCGGCCGAUGUCUGAUUAGCUAGUUGGUGGGGUAAAGGCCCACCAAGGCGACGAUCAGUAGCUGGUCUGAGAGGACGAUCAGCCACACUGGGACUGAGACACGGCCCAGACUCCUACGGGAGGCAGCAGUGGGGAAUUUUGGACAAUGGGCGAAAGCCUGAUCCAGCAAUGCCGCGUGUGUGAAGAAGGCCUUCGGGUUGUAAAGCACUUUUGUCCGGAAAGAAAUGGCUCUGGUUAAUACCUGGGGUCGAUGACGGUACCGGAAGAAUAAGGACCGGCUAACUACGUGCCAGCAGCCGCGGUAAUACGUAGGGUCCAAGCGUUAAUCGGAAUUACUGGGCGUAAAGCGUGCGCAGGCGGUUGUGCAAGACCGAUGUGAAAUCCCCGAGCUUAACUUGGGAAUUGCAUUGGUGACUGCACGGCUAGAGUGUGUCAGAGGGGGGUAGAAUUCCACGUGUAGCAGUGAAAUGCGUAGAGAUGUGGAGGAAUACCGAUGGCGAAGGCAGCCCCCUGGGAUAACACUGACGCUCAUGCACGAAAGCGUGGGGAGCAAACAGGAUUAGAUACCCUGGUAGUCCACGCCCUAAACGAUGUCAACUAGUUGUUGGGGAUUCAUUUCCUUAGUAACGUAACUAACGCGUGAAAGUUGACCCGCUGGGGAGUACGGCCCAAGAUUUAAACUCAAAGGAAUUGACCGGGACCCGCACAACCGUGGAUGAUGUGGAUAAUUCAUGCAACCCGGCGCAACCCUUGUCUCUAGUUGCUACGAAAGGGCACUCUAGAGAGACUGCCGGUGACAAACCGGAUGAAGGUGGGGAUGACGUCAAGUCCUCAUGGCCCUUAUGGGUAGGGCUUCACACGUCAUACAAUGGUGCAUACAGAGGGUUGCCAAGCCGCGAGGUGGAGCUAAUCCCAGAAAAUGCAUCGUAGUCCGGAUCGUAGUCUGCAACUCGACUACGUGAAGCUGGAAUCGCUAGUAAUCGCGGAUCAGCAUGCCGCGGUGAAUACGUUCCCGGGUCUUGUACACACCGCCGUCACACCAUGGGAGUGGGCUUUACCAGAAGUAGUUAGCCUAACCGCAAGGAGGGCGAUUACCACGGUAGGGUUCAUGACUGGGGUGAAGUCGUAACAAGGUAACC